rnacentral:rRNA from 1 species
AUUGAACGCUGGCGGCAUGCCUUACACAUGCAAGUCGAACGGCAGCACGGGAGCAAUCCUGGUGGCGAGUGGCGAACGGGUGAGUAAUAUAUCGGAACGUGCCCAGUCGUGGGGGAUAACGCAGCGAAAGCUGUGCUAAUACCGCAUACGAUCUAAGGAUGAAAGCGGGGGAUCGCAAGACCUCGCGCGAUUGGAGCGGCCGAUAUCAGAUUAGCUAGUUGGUGGGGUAAAGGCCCACCAAGGCGACGAUCUGUAGCUGGUCUGAGAGGACGACCAGCCACACUGGAACUGAGACACGGUCCAGACUCCUACGGGAGGCAGCAGUGGGGAAUUUUGGACAAUGGGCGCAAGCCUGAUCCAGCAAUGCCGCGUGCAGGAUGAAGGCCUUCGGGUUGUAAACUGCUUUUGUACGGAACGAAACGGCCCUUUCUAAUACAGGGGGCUAAUGACGGUACCGUAAGAAUAAGCACCGGCUAACUACGUGCCAGCCGCCGCCGUAACAC